UGGGGGAUAUUGCACAAUGGGGGAAACCCUGAUGCAGCAACGCCGCGUGAAGGAAGAAGGUCUUCGGAUUGUAAACUUCUGCCCUCAGGGAAGAUAAUGACGGUACCUGAGGAGGAAGCUCCGGCUAACUACGUGCCAGCAGCCGCGGUAAUACGUAGGGAGCGAGCGUUGUCCGGAUUUACUGGGUGUAAAGGGUGCGUAGGCGGAUCUGCAAGUCAGUAGUGAAAUCCCAGGGCUUAACCCUGGAACUGCUAUUGAAACUGUGGGUCUUGAGUGAGGUAGAGGCAGGCGGAAUUCCCGGUGUAGCGGUGAAAUGCGUAGAGAUCGGGAGGAACACCAGUGGCGAAGGCGGCCUGCUGGGCCUUAACUGACGCUGAGGCACGAAAGCAUGGGUAGCAAACAGGAUUAGAUACC
rnacentral:rRNA from 1 species